rnacentral:lncRNA from 1 species
UCCUUCAUGUAAAUUAGGCUUAAAAUUUUGUAGUUCUGCAGUAAUUUGCCGUAUAUUAGAGUUAAAGCGUUCUCUCCAGUUUCCGUUUACUUCCAAGGCUCUGGAAGAUAGCCUUCAAACUCCAUCAAAAAGUCAACAUGUUGUCUUGUGGAAGAACGGAUGAUUGCCCACGUUCUACCUCACAGCUCAUAUUUCCUUGGAGAACUCGAAACGUGACGACGGCUUGGAAGGUCGGUAGAUAAGCCCGCAGGCAAAAAUUUGACGUCGAGGAAGGGAGGGGAUGGAAGGCGGCUGUUGUCUCCUGUGAACAGCGCGAGGCGGAGCUCGGAAGACUCCGGCGAACUCCAAGGAGCGGAGCUCAGAAGACUCCGGCGAACUACGGGGAGCGCGGAGCUCAGAAGACUCCGGCGAACUACGGGGAGCGGAGCUCAGAAGACUUGGGCGAUCUGAGGAUGGGAGAAGUGCCGUCCCGGGGGAAGGCCGUGAGUUUGCCGGAGUUUGGAGGAUUCCGGCGAGAGGAGGCGUGGGGAGCUCAACGAUCGGAGAAGUGGGGAGGGUGGACAAGGG